UACAAGUUGGAAUACGUUAGUGGGCGGACGGGUGAGUACGCGGUCGGGUAACCUGCCUCACACGAGGGGAUAACAGUUGGAACGACUGUUAAUACCGCAUAAGCGCACAGCUUCGCAUGAAGCAGUGUGAAAAACUCCGGUGGUGUGAGAUGGACCCGCGUCUGAUUAGCUAGUUGGUGAGGUAACGGCCCACCAAGGCGACGAUCAGUAGCCGGCCUGAGAGGGUGUACGGCCACAUUGGGACUGAGACACGGCCCAAACUCCUACGGGAGGCAGCAGUGGGGAAUAUUGGACAAUGGGGGCAACCCUGAUCCAGCGACGCCCGCGUGAGUGAAGAAGUAUCUCGGUAUGUAAAGCUCUAUCAGCAGGGAAGAUAAUGACGGUACCUGACUAAGAAGCACCGGCUAAAUACGUGCCAGCAGCCGC
rnacentral:rRNA from 1 species